UUCUCUAGCAUUGAGCGCAUACUCACAUGCAAUUGGCUAAGAAUUUUUUUAUAUUUUAAUUUAUAUAUAUUUCCGACAUCUAUUUCCCAUUACUAACAUAAUUUUCUUUUCUUUUGCAGGUUGAUUACAAUGGUUUUGGUUUUCAGCAAUGAAAACCGUAAAAUAACGACGCCCUUCCAGCUUUAAUAUUCUUGGCAAAAAUUUAUCGCUGGCGGCAUCGCAACGAGGGAUUGGGAAACUUGUGUGGGAGAAGAUCUAUCCCUCCACAACAAUGCACCCAGGUUCUCCUAUGAUUUAUUUUGGAAAUUGAUAUUUUUUAAGGUGGUUAUUGUGGCAUCCACGGUGGAAAAAAUGCCACACUGAGCGAACCAAGCAACAUUUUUUUUCGCAGCAUGGCCGUAUCGCGCCCGCAACAAAUUUGUCGUAGUAUACACAAAUAUCAUAUCAGUCAUUUGGUAUUUGUGUUGUAGCACUGCGUAAAUCAGUCCCAAACAUUUGCGUGGUUUGGCAACAUCCCAAACAGAUAGCCGCUAAAUUCAGGCAAAUACCCCCGUCUGGAGGAACCUAGGCCGGGUUUAAACGUUCACAUGACGAUUUAGAUGGAUGAUCAGACGUAAAAAUUUUCACAAGCUCAGACGGAAGGGAGAGCGGGCACAAUUCCAACUUUGGGGUCAAAAAUCUGGUGUCCCGGGUCCGUCCCCCAUGAAAAAAUAGUUUACCAGAAUCAGGGUAAAAAUACCUACCUCUGAGAACAAUUUUGAAAAAAUUUAAGAGUUUUUACUAAAUUAGAGUUAAGCCUUCAAAGUGUGUACUUAAGUAUGUGCACGAAAAGUACUAAAUGUUAUUAUAUUUGGCAAAAUCUCGAUUUGGAUGAACCGAUAGAGCUGGACUGCUAAAAUUUGGAAAAAAAAAAAGGUAGCAAUUGCACUGAGGUUUGUAGGCUGUUUUUGAAUUUCGUACUUAUGUGUACUAAAUUCGAUGCAAUUUAAUAUUUGACAAAACCAAUAGAGUUGGAAUCAUGACCUGUUGUAUUGCAGGAUUGGAAUAUGUAGUAAAUUUUGGGAAAUUCCUAGUUAUGUGUACUGCAAUGUACUAAAUUUGUUGUAAUUUGUAUUUGAGUGAAUCGAUAGGGGUUGAAUCCUGAAAUUUUGAAUUGGGAUUACUGAGGGAUUGCUGUAUGUAAGUCUUUGGAGAUUCGUACUUAAGUGUACUAAAUAGUACUAAAUUUGGUACUAUUUGGGUUUUGGUAAACCGAUAGAGCUGUGAGAUAUAUAUUGGAUUAAGUGAUACAGAUUGUUACGGAAAUGUGUAGUAAAUGGUACUAAAUUCGAUGCAUUUUGGAUUUGGGUGAACCGAAGGAGCUGGAAUCCUAAAAUUUGAAAUUAAGAUUACUGUUGGAGAGUAGGAUAGGGUUAUGUAGGAAAUUUUGGAAAUUCGUACUCGUGUGUACUACAUGAUACUCGGCCCUAUUAUGGUUGUCGUCGGCGUCGCAAAAUGAAGUCGAGGCGACAAUAAUGAUAUUAGGGUUGUCGUUUUUUGUCGAUAGCGACAAAUGAUUGCUAUUAUAAUUGUCGAUACAACAGUCGACGUGAAGUCGAUUUUUAAGAAAAUCUGUCGCCGUAAAAAAUUGUGACGACAUUGUAUUUUUUAGUCGACGUUGAUAUUGUAACUUUUUUGUAUUUGAUUAUGAAAAUAACAGCAGCAAAACAAUUCGAAAUGUUGGUUUCCGAAUUGAAAAAAAAAAAUACUUUUGGCAAAAGGGUUUACCAAAGGUAAUUUUCCAGCUAAUUUUAAAUCAGAUUGGAAUCCAUUGCAAAAUUAAAUGUAAACAGGUCACCGAUUAGAGACCGGCAAAAAAUAUGUUGAAAUUAAAUUUAUUUUUGUAUGUUUUUAUUAGUUAGUUUUCUUAAGUUCUAGGUUUGGAAAGAUUUAAAAUUUAAAACUAAAAAACAAUUAUGCUCAAUAAGGGUGAAGACAGCAUUUUAAGCAAAUGACUCCAGGUCGUGCACUUGGAGUAAAAAAUACGGAAAACAUAGUUGUAACAGACGUUAUAGAUCAUGAAAAUGAGCCAGUGAACAAUGCUGAUGACGAGACUGAUGUGUAACUACUAUCCAAGCUUCUCGAUCGCCCAGAAACAAACCAUGAUAAAAAGUCAUCAAGAAAAGAAGAAACUACUGAACUCUUGAAAGUGCAGUAUAAACUUUUGGAACUGCACAAUCAAGAGUCAGGCAAUACAAAUAUGUUUGUUUGCUGCCUUAACACUCGCCACUGCACUACUAAUACAUUCUUCUCAUCAUCCUCAAUUGAACUUAAGAUAUGUAACGCAUUUAUAACAUUAAUUUUUUCACUAUAUUUUUUAUUUUUACGAAAGAGUCGAAAUUAGAAUUCAAAAUACAAAAAAAAAUCUUAUUUUGUCAAUAACAAGGGAGUGUUGCCAACGUUUUUUUUAUAAUUGUUGCCAACUUUUAUUUUAAACUGUCGAUGUCGCUUCCAUGCCUUACCGUAAUACCAUUUUUGAAUCAAAGCGACGGUGAGGGCGACUUGCACAUAAAGUCGACAACGACUAUAGAAACGACAACCGUAAUUGGGCCGACUGAAUUUUGUACAAUUUGUAUUUGAGUGAACCGAUAGGGUUGGAAUCCUGAAGUUUGGAAAUAUGAUUUCCUUCGGAUUGUAUGAUUGAUUCCUUUAAAUCACCAUAUAAAAAAUCCACGAAUAUUAACAGAGACUGCGGCCAUUUAAAAAUUUUCCAAAAAUCUAAAUUUAUUGAUCCUUUAUAAAUUCCUUAAAAAUCUCUUAUUGGCAGUCUGAUUUCCUUUCAAAAUUCUUCAAAAACUCCAAGUUUUUUGGUCGGCUUUAGUAAUUUUAUGUAUUAAAAAAAAAUCCAGAUUUAUAAGCAGGCUAUUAUCCUUUAAAAAUACCACGUUGGUUUACAAUACGAAUGGUUAACAGUAUACCCUUAGAACUAUUGUUGUCUUGUUCUAACUUAAUCGUGACAUAUAUGAUUAUGCUACAUUGCUUGAAUGAAAAGGCAAAAUGUUUAAAGUAAAAACAGAUUGAAAUUAUGAGAGAGGCUUGCUCACGGCCUCAAAUGUUACGAACAGAGCGAGAAUGUCUGUAAAUAAAUAAAUAAAGGUUUGAAAUGCGCUCAGGUACAGUUUAGAGCUUAAUAAUAUAAUUAUUGCUUAACCUCUAUGGUUGCCAGGUGCUGAUUUGCUGUAAAAAGGAGGUAGCGUGUAUUCGUUGUUGACAUCUGUGGCUGGUUCGUUUAAUAUACCAAUUGGAGAGAGGUAAUACGGUUCUGGCCACGAUAUGUGCUUUUCCAUUUGGUAGAUUUCAUUCAUUAGUAAGUUUUCAUGGGUUUCGAGUUUUUCCACGAAUUUCUUCUGGUGGCUUUGGAUAUACUUACAAAAAGGCACAACCCUGGACGUGUUGUAUAUAAUUUCUAACUCCUUGGCCACUAUUGGGGAAAUAGAGAACCAGAUCGGAAACCCGUACGCUAAGAUAGAUCUAAUUGCAACUUUGUAGAGAAGUAACUUCGUGUUUUGUGGUAGGUAUUUGCUAUUUAAUAGAUAUGAAAACUUUACUAAUAUACCUUUUGUCUUCUGCAUGACGGACCGUGCGUGUUUAUUGAACUUCAUCAAAUUGGUGAGAGUAAUACCCAGAGAGAUGUUUUAAAGGGAAUCUCAACUCCUUCAAGAGACAGCUGAAGUUCUUUACUCUCUGGAACAACGUUUCUGGGGCAUUUUCCCGAAGCGUUCCGGAAACAUAUUGCUACGGAUUUAUCGGCAUUGAUUUUGAUUCCCCAUUUUUGAUAGAAUUCAUGGAUGCUCUGGAGAUGAGUUCUAGCGUUUUGUAAGGCGUUCUUGGGCGAAAUGUUGUGUGCGUAAAUUAAGCAGUCGUCGGCAUAUAAAAUCGCUUGAGAGCCUUGGCCGAUAUGGGGGAAGUCAUACAGGAAAAUAUUGAAAAGUGAAAAAACUUGCCAUCAACUUGAUCAGGACCGACUCAAAUAACUUCCCGAUGUUGGACAAUAGUGAUAUUGGACGAAAAUUGCUCAAAGUGUUGUCAUUAAUUAUUUUCUUCUUUAUGGGAACAAUUUUCGCCAAUUUCCAGAGUGAUGGGAAAUAUCCAUUGUUGAUGCAGUUGUUGAAGAGACAUGAUUGGUAAAGUGAAAAGAGUCUGGAUUGUUUAAUGAAUUGAAGUUAUCGUCAAAUGAGUAGAUGUGCGGUGGAACGGCGUUGAUGCAUGUUGUGACUCUAGAGCUAAGAUCGUCUACAGGAUUUGUGGGUACAUUUUCUUGAAAAAUUUCAGAAUAAAAUUGUUUAAAAUUAUUAGCAAUUUCGGAACUUUCCGUAAUGGUUUCAUUUCCUAUUUGGAGUUUUUCGCAAAAUGAUGAAUUAUUUUUGCCGGACUCAACUGGAUGGACUCAAAGGAAUCUGAUUAGCGGCCCCAAAAUGACAAACGUUUACAACUAUGUCAAAAUGAUGCCUUCGAGGAGAGUCCACUAUAGUUACAACAGGCUGACAUGAUGACCAGUAAUCUGGAUGAGCAUGGCAAUCAAUUUGGGUUUUAAAACUGUGCCUAAAUAACUGGCAGUUCUCUAGAAUAUGAUGCAAUAGUUAUCCAUGAGAACUGCGUAAACCUAUGGUAAAUGGUAGUUACCGAUGAGGAUAUUCAUUAAAGUCCUUCCAAACUGCACCAAAAGAGAAGUUACUCUCAAUCUUGCUAGUUUAAAGGAACUAUUAUGAUUGAAACUAAAUGUCAUACUCACAUACCUCGUAGAAUAUACCUUGCAAUUUUCAGAAGAUUGUUAUUUAAAUGCCUAUCAGUUGUUACGUAAAGCCCGAUUAAUGACCGAUUUAAAUUCCCUGGCCAAUUAUCCGUUG